rnacentral:lncRNA from 1 species
CUAGAUCUCAAGGGCCAGUUUUUCCUAGAGCCAAGGCAUCCAUCCAAAGAAACAGCCACAGAUAAAGGAAGAUGCCCACUCAGGAACUGGAGAUUUCGCCGCCGAUCUAGAUCCUACCACAACAACUUGGAUGAAUUCCCACCUACCACAAGGACAGGACUAUGCAUUGGAAUUUCUAUUAUGGAUAUUUGUGAAGAGUAUCCAAAAGUAAGUGAGAAUGUCCAUGUGGAUGUCACCAAUGCACAGGAGGCAGUGGACUCCACAUCUUCAACCAG